rnacentral:rRNA from 1 species
AUGCAAAACAUCUACGAUAUCUUGACCUCUCUAGGUCUAACAUCACUAAGUUGCCAGAAUUGUUGGGAGCUGCGGCAGUUACCAAAAGACAUGGCAAGACUGAAAAAGGUCAUCCAUCUUCAUUUUUCUUGUUGUGACCGUCUUGAAAGUAUGUCUCCAAACUUUGGUUUACUGAACAACCUUCGGAUAUUAACAACAUUUGUUGUCGAUACUGGUGAUGGCCUUGGAAUAGAGCAGCUCAAAGACCUGCAACACCUCAGCAAUAGGUUGGAACUACUGAAUUUGGACAAGAUAAAGAGUGGCGAGAAUGCAAAAGAAGCCAAUCUCGGUCAGAAGAAAAAUCUAAGAGAGUUGUUGUUCUCUUGGGACCAACAAAUAGGUGAUGAGCCUAGAGAUGUGGAAGAAGUGCUUCAGUGUUUAGAACCUCAUAGUAAUAUCCAAAAACUGAAGAUAUAUGGAUAUCAUGGCCUAGAAAUAUCACAAUGGAUGAGAAAGCCCCAGAUGUUUGACUGCUUGAGAGAACUCAAAAUGUCUGGCUGCCCAAAAUGCAAGAGUAUCCCUGUAAUAUGGUUCUCGGUCUCUCUAGAGAUUUUGGUCUUACAGAGGAUGGAUAACCUGACAGCAUUAUGCAAUAACCUUGGUGUGGAAGCUGGGGGGUGCAUUACCCCUCUGCAAAUUUUCCCAAGGUUGAAAAAAAUGAGCUUGAUUGAGUUACCAAGCCUGGAGAUAUGGGCAGAAAAUAGCGUGGGAGAGCCUAGUGAAAACCUGGUAACAUUUCCGGUGCUUGAAGAGCUAGAGAUCAAAAAUUGCCCCAAGCUUGCAAGCAUUCCUGUGAUCCCUGUAGUCAGUGAGUUGAGAAUAGUUGGGAUUCACAGUACUGCAAUCAGUUUAGUUUUUAUUAGCAUCCUAUUGGGCUCUUAUGUUGGUUUUGAACCCUUAAAAACCUUCGGGAGAUACACGCACGUACAACCAGCUAGCAAGCAAGGUAGCAGGCAGCUCAAUGGAUUGUGGCGUACGUAUGUAGCCGGCGAUACUUGCGAUCGAAACUGUAGACAGAGAAAACUACUUUUUGCGGUGCGUCGACUUGCACCUUUUCGUAUAUUUUCUCUAGUAUAUAAAGGAGGGAUACAGGCGUUGCCGCGUCCAACGCGUCGCCGACUCGGGCGACCAACACGACGCAACCCCGGACUCGUACAAGCACUCGUCCGGUUUUCUCACGUGAAAAACACAACUGACUCGUACUAG